rnacentral:rRNA from 1 species
CCUACGGGAGGCAGCAGUGGGGAAUUUUGGACAAUGGGCGCAAGCCUGAUCCAGCAAUGUCGCGUGCAGGAUGAAGGCCUUCGGGUUGUAAACUGCUUUUGUACGGAACGAAACGGUUCGCUUUAAUACAGUGGGCUAAUGACGGUACCGUAAGAAUAAGCACCGGCUAACUACGUGCCAGCAGCCGCGGUAAUACGUAGGGUGCGAGCGUUAAUCGGAAUUACUGGGCGUAAAGCGUGCGCAGGCGGUUUUGUAAGACAGAUGUGAAAUCCCCGGGCUCAACCUGGGACCUGCAUUUGUGACUGCAAGGCUAGAGUACGGUAGAGGGGGAUGGAAUUCCGCGUGUAGCAGUGAAAUGCGUAGAUAUGCGGAGGAACACCGAUGGCGAAGGCAAUCCCCUGGACCUGUACUGACGCUCAUGCACGAAAGCGUGGGGAGCAAACAGGAUUAGAUACCCUGGUAGUCCACGCCCUAAACGAUGUCAACUGGUUGUUGGGUCUUCACUGACUCAGUAACGAAGCUAACGCGUGAAGUUGACCGCCUGGGGAGUACGGCCGCAAGGUUGAAACUCGAAAGGAUUGACGG